GAUAUCAACUGAAAAAGUCAUCAACAACAAAGUUGAAUAACUCAUCAAGAUCUAAAACUUUUAUUUUGGUCAUUUCUUCAUACGACAAAGUGAUAGUAAUAUUGUUCACAAAUGACAUAUCUCUAUCUGGUUUUAUAAACAUAACACAUAUAUGUAAAAUUUAUGAAUAAUAUUACUAACAUUUUAUCGGAUAAAGAAAUAACAAAAAUAAAAGUUUUAGAUCUUGAUGAGUUAUUCAACUUUGUUGUUGAUGACUUUUUCAAUUGAAAUC
rnacentral:pre_miRNA from 1 species